rnacentral:lncRNA from 1 species
UUAAUAACAAAUCUAGUUUUGAGAAAAAAGAAAAAAAAAAGACUACCCACGGAUUCAAAUAUACAUAACAUACUCUGUUUGCUCUAAUUAAAAAAAUUAGCUGUUGAGUUUAUUAAUAAAAAAAUAUUUAAUUAUUAUUAUUUUAUUUGAAACAAAUUCAACUGUGGAUAAUAAUAAAGGGGAGGGUUAUGGAGGUCGC